GAUGAACGCUGGCGGCGUGCCUAAUACAUGCAAGUCGAGCGAACGGACGAGAAGCUUGCUUCUCUGAUGUUAGCGGCGGACGGGGGAGUAACACGUGGAUAACCUACCUAUAAGACUGGGAUAACUUCGGGAAACCGGAGCUAAGACCGGAUUAUAGUUUGAACCGCAUGGUUCAAAAGUGAAAGACGGUCUUGCUGUCACUGAUAGAUGGAUCCGCGCUGCCUUAGCUAGUUGGUAAGGUAACGGCUUACCAAGGCAACGAUGCAUAGCCGACCUGAGAGGGUGAUCGGCCACACUGGAACUGAGACACGGUCCAGACUCCUACGGGAGGCAGCAGUAGGGAAUCUUCCGCAAUGGGCGAAAGCCUGACGGAGCAACGCCGCGUGAGUGAUGAAGGUCUUCGGAUCGUAAAACUCUGUUAUUAGGGAAGAACAUAUGUGUAAGUAACUGUGCACAUCUUGACGGUACCUAAUCAGAAAGCCACGGCUAACUACGUG
rnacentral:rRNA from 1 species